GUAUUUGAAAUUAAAUCUCUGCAUUAAAAUCUGCAUUGCUGAGCCUCCCGCUGGCAGCCACCGUUCUUCGGAAAACUGACAUCUUCCCUGGCACUGAUGGGGCAGGAGUUCUCGUGUGGAUAUUACCAAUUUCCUACCACUCUUCGAGUAUCGGGACUUUAUGGCAAUAUAUAACUAAGAAGUACAAAGGCUGCGAGGUGUGUGAGGAAUACAGGAGGGGGCCACCUCGGGUUUAGUAAGGAUAGAUGUUUUUGUCUUGACACACAAGGGUGGAAACCAUUUUACAAACCUCUAUUAAAGCAGCAUAUUGCUGAUGUCACAAAUUAUGUCAUUUUUCAGCAAGCUGUUAGGUAGCAGCAGGAUACUUAGAGGUCCCAAUCUGAGUUCACAGCUUGAGGCCUCAUCAUCCAUUGAAGUCAAGAAAAUACUCCAGUCCCCUGGCCCUCUGUUUACAAAUAAUAUAUCAAGAAUCAGGAUGCCCACAAAUGAACUUUCAGGCACUGAGCUAAAGGAAAUGCAUCUCUGUGUAUUUUUUUUAAUAUAUAUGCAUGUGUACAUGUUACACAUUUGUCCAUAUGUGUGUUUAUGUGCAUUUGUGUGUAGUACAAUUGAAUUCCACAGUUUGCCAUUAGAUUUUUUUAAACAAGCAUUGUUUUUAUUCCUUGAAAUACAGACCUGAUUCUUCAUGACUAAUUUUGCACACAGAAUCCCCACCAAAGCUGGAGAUAUCCACAUAGAAAAGGGGCAUAAAGUGCUCCCAUUCAUUUCUCCUUCUUAAAAUAGUGAGGGGGUUUGUUUUAAUACCUGGUACUUCUAUAAUAUAAAAGAGCUCUGUUUAAUAAGAUACACAUAAAAACAGAUUUAUCUAUAACAGAGUUGAGUACAAAAUAAAAUAACAGGAAUGUCUAUGCACAUAUUCACUGGUACAGCAGAAUAGCUUGUUAGAGGCUCUCGGCAUCUCCUGGAUGAACCAUAUUUACACAUAUAUGUGUAUUUUCCCCCACUAGAGUGGAAUAAGCUAUCAUGUUUUUCUAACAACGCACAUAUACCUGGAAGACGACGGCCUACAUUAGAAGACAUAAAAUACAUAGCAUGUGGCCUGAGGUUGUGAAACAACCCAAGAGAAGGAAUUAAAUUCAAAGCUAACGGUGCCAAACUCAUCAGUGAGUGUUUUUACCCCCCUGUGUAUUAGUGGGAGCCAAAGAUGAGUGUCAAGGCACAGCUUUGAAUUCCCUGACUUUUGCCAGUGUUAACAUCACUCCCUUAACAGAAUGAGGGUAUUGGCAGGGAUUUGGAUUAGAUGGCCAAGCAAGGCAUUUGUAUUCCCACACUCACUCCCUAAACUGAUUCCAGUAUUUUGCUACUCAUUUACUGACAUGGUUGGCUGUAACUUCCUCUACUGCAAAUGGUAUUACAGGGCUGGAUUAGCUUCUCCUCUAUAGCAUAUCCCUGAUGUAGUUGCCACUGCAACUCUCCCCCACUAUCUGUACAAUAAAUGCCAUUGCUUACAGAAACAUGAUUACAGGAUUAGAGUUAUUGGGCCUUCACCCAGACAAACACAGUGACAUAGCAUAGCACUGGCACCUCUGAAAGCUGCACUGACCUCAGGCAUCUCUACAUCAAAGGCCACGGCCACAAUCUGAGCUUCAUUAGCUUUCAAGCCUGAAGUUACAGGAGCACUACUUCCUCAGCCGCUAAUGGGAAACACUCUCCUCCAUUUGCUGUUGAGGUGUUAAAAGUUCCUCUUAACAUCAGUUACUGAGCUACAGCUUCACUGGUAUCCCAGUAAAAUAAAAAUGACUUGUGGUGUGGGAGCUGAGUUCAAAUCAAAAUGCUGUGUUGGACAUCCCUUAUUCAAGAAAAUAGCAGACACUGGUGCAGGGGUGCUUUGGAAGUGAGGACUACAGGGGGAGGCGCAAUCCCAAAUCCCAGACUUGGAGCUAUAGGAAAAUUCCUGCAGCUCCUGAAGGGUUUCAUAUGGUUGUAACUGACUGUUUAACGACUUAGGUAUCUGAAGGAUGCUCUGGUUUUCAUUUGUAGGAUGUGAUGCAGAUGAUGAUGCAGAGAGGGAGAGCUUGGAGCUGGCUGCGGUUCAGAGCGCGUGCACCAUCGGGUCUGCACUCACUGUGAGAAACCUGUGAAUUGUGCUGAGAACUCUUCCAAGCCCCCCCCCUUGCUGAUCUGCACCUACAAGGAGGAGACUCAGGUGCCAGCAUUUAAUCCCACAGAGAGACAAGCUAGUCAGAGAAAGAGCCACAAGGUGGCAAAGCACUAGAACAGCUGUAGUUCAGGAGGAAUAAUGGCCACCAAGCCAAGAAUCCUGUCUCCAAGGGUGCAUGUGCUUGAUGCCUAAUGAAAAGGAUAAGGGCAUGCACUGACACUUCCAAUGCACCUCUACAGCCCGCUCACCUCCUCCGUCUGUAAGGGGCAGUGAGAUGCCUCAGCUCAUUGCACCACCUCAGACGCUGCACCAGCAGCCAUCUUUAUUUUCCUUCCACGCCUGUUGUCAUUUGCCUCCUGAGCCUAAUGGAAACCUGCCCUGGAUGGUAUCCAGCAUCAAUCCUGCUCUGAACCCCUUCAAUGUCAGGAGGAGCAUGAACAUUUCCUACCUCAUUACUGCCUUUCAAAAACAGCCACAACCACAAAAACAAGACCUUGGGGAAGAAGACAGGAGAGGAGAAAAUCUCUGCAUGCACAAGCAGAGCCCCACCUGCCAGUUAU